UCGGAUUUUAAGAGUAAGUUUUUGUUAAUUGUUUUGAUUUUUAAUAUAAUUUGAUAUUUUUCAGACCAAAAUUCUUUAUAAUGAAGAGGGUAUAUACAAGUUCACUUCAUUGAAUAAAAAAUAUUGCCAAAAUGCAGGAAGCAAUUUCCUUUAAGUAAUUUGGAAAGCAAAACAAACAAGGCGCUGAUUUGCUGAUGCUACCCAUUGUUUUUGUAUGUACUUCUCAAUGGCAAGAGCUGCCGCAGGCGUUGACGGCGGAGGUGUCACCAUCAAAACCAUUAGAAACAACACCACCAAGUCAAUGAUGCAAGUGGAAGUUUUGCCAUGUAAUAGUCGACCGCUGACGCCCUUCUCCAUCAAUUGUGUAAGUACGUAUCGAAACAUUCAUAUCGUAGUCAACUAGCUUAAUCUUUAU